rnacentral:tRNA from 1 species
GGAACGUUAGCUCAGUUGGUUAGAGCGUGGUGCUAAUAACGCAAAAAGGUCGUGGGUUCAAUCCCCAAAUUUCCA